AACGAACGCUGGCGGCAUGCCUAACACAUGCAAGUCGAACGAGACCUUCGGGUCUAGUGGCGCACGGGUGCGUAACGCGUGGGAACCUGCCCUUAGGUUCGGAAUAACUCCCCGAAAGGGGUGCUAAUACCGGAUAAUGUCUUCGGACCAAAGAUUUAUCGCCUUUGGAUGGGCCCGCGUUGGAUUAGCUAGUUGGUAGGGUAAAAGCCUACCAAGGCGACGAUCCAUAGCUGGUCUGAGAGGAUGAUCAGCCACACUGGGACUGAGACACGGCCCAGACUCCUACGGGAGGCAGCAGUGGGGAAUAUUGGACAAUGGACGAAAGCCUGAUCCAGCAAUGCCGCGUGAGUGAUGAAGGCCUUAGGGUUGUAAAGCUCUUUUACCCGGGAUGAUAAUGACAGCACCGGGAGAAUAAGCUCCGGCUAACUCCGUG
rnacentral:rRNA from 1 species